rnacentral:tRNA from 1 species
UCCCUUCUGUUUCAGCUGGUGAAAAAAUCCGCCUGCAAUGUGGAAGACCUGGGUUCAAUCCCUGGGUUGGGAA